CCUACGGGAGGCAGCAGUGGGGAAUAUUGCACAAUGGGGGAAACCCUGAUGCAGCGACGCCGCGUGAGCGAAGAAGUAUUUCGGUAUGUAAAGCUCUAUCAGCAGGGAAGAAAAUGACGGUACCUGAGUAACACGCUCCGGCUAACUACGUACCAGCAGCCGCGGUAAUACGUAUGGGGCAAGCGUUAUCCGGAUUUACUGGGCGUAAAGGGAGCGUAGGCGGGAUGGCAAGUCUGAUGUGAAAGACCGGGGCCCAACCCCGGGGCUGCAUUGGAAACUGGCAGGCUGGAGUGCAGGAGAGGUAAGCGGAAUUCCUAGUGUAGCGGUGAAAGGCGUAGAUAUUAGGAGGAACACCAGUGGCGAAGGCGGCCUGCUGGACGGUAACUGACGCUGAGGCUCGAAAGCGUGGGGAGCAAACAGGAUUAGAUACCCGAGUAGUC
rnacentral:rRNA from 1 species